rnacentral:tRNA from 1 species
GUUCUUGUAGUUGAAUUACAACGGUGGUUUUUCAAGUCAUUAGUCCUGGUUAGAAUCCUGGCAGGAAUU